CGAAAUGCGAUAAGUAAUGUGAAUUGCAGAAUUCAGUGAAUCAUCGAAUCUUUGAACGCACCUUGCGCUCCUUGGUAUUCCUUGGAGCAUGCCUGUUUGAGUAUCAUGAAAUCUUCAAAGUAAAUCUUUUGUUAACUCAAUUGGUUUCUACUUUGGUAUUGGAGGUCUUUGCAGCUUCACACCUGCUCCUCUUUGUUCAUUAGCUGGAUCUCAGUGUUAUGCUUGGUUCCACUCGGCGUGAUAAGUUAUCUAUCGCUGAGGACACUGUAAAAGGUGGCCAAGGUAAAUGCAGAUGAACCGCUUCUAAUAGUCAAUUGACUUGGACAAUACUUUUAUGAUCUGAUCUCAAAUCAGGUAGGACUACCCGCUGAACUUAAGC
rnacentral:misc_RNA from 1 species